rnacentral:rRNA from 1 species
CAGAUCUUGCUCUGUGGAUUACUGGCGAACGGGUGAGUAACACGUGAGUAACCUGCCCUUGACUCUGGAAUAAGCGUUGGAAACGACGUCUAAUACCGGAUACGAGCUUCAGCCGCAUGGCUAGGAGCUGGAAAGAAUUUCGGUCAAGGAUGGACUCGCGGCCUAUCAGGUAGUUGGUGAGGUAAUGGCUCACCAAGCCUACGACGGGUAGCCGGCCUGAGAGGGUGACCGGCCACACUGGAACUGAGACACGGUCCAGACUCCUACGGGAGGCAGCAGUGGGGAAUAUUGCACAAUGGGCGCAAGCCUGAUGCAGCAACGCCGCGUGAGGGACGACGGCCUUCGGGUUGUAAACCUCUUUUAGUAGGGAAGAAGCGAUGUGCUUGUCACAUCAUGACGGUACCUGCAGAAAAAGCACCGGCUAACUACGUGCCAGCAGCCGCGGUAAUACGUAGGGUGCAAGCGUUAUCCGGAAUUAUUGGGCGUAAAGAGCUCGUAGGCGGUUUGUCGCGUCUGCUGUGAAAACUGGGGGCUCAACCCCCAGCCUGCAGUGGGUACGGGCAGACUAGAGUGCGGUAGGGGAGAUUGGAAUUCCUGGUGUAGCGGUGGAAUGCGCAGAUAUCAGGAGGAACACCAAUGGCGAAGGCAGAUCUCUGGGCCGUUACUGACGCUGAGGAGCGAAAGCAUGGGGAGCGAACAGGAUUAGAUACCCUGGUAGUCCAUGCCGUAAACGUUGGGAACUAGAUGUAGGGACCAUUCCACGGUUUCUGUGUCGCAGCUAACGCAUUAAGUUCCCCGCCUGGGGGAGUACGGCCGCAAGGCUAAAACUCAAAGGAAUUGACGGGGGCCCGCACAAGCGGCGGAGCAUGCGGAUUAAUUCGAUGCAACGCGAAGAACCUUACCAAGACUUGACAUAUACGAGAACGGGCUAGAAUAGUUCACUCUUUGGACACUCGUAAACAGGUGGUGCAUGGUUGUCGUCAGCUCGUGUCGUGAGAUGUUGGGUUAAGUCCCGCAACGAGCGCAACCCUCGUUCUUUGUUGCCAGCCACGUAUGUGGGAACCUCAAAGGAGACUGCCCGGGGUCAACUCGGAGAAGUGGGAUGACGUCAAUCAUCAUGCCCUUAUGUUUUGGCUUCACGCAUGCUACA